rnacentral:rRNA from 1 species
GUACGGCGAGUGANAGGAAGAGCUCAAAGUUGGAACCUGUUUGGCCUAGCUAAACCNNNNNNNNNNNNGNAGAAGUGUUUUCCAGGCAAGCCGAGUAAAUAAGUCCUUUGGAACAGGGCAUCAUAGAGGGUGAGAAUCCCGUCUUUGGCUUGAGCAUUUGCCUUUUGUGAUACGCUUUCAAAGAGUCAGGUUGUUUGGGAAUGCAGCCUAAAUUGGGUGGUAAAUCUCACCUAAAGCUAAAUAUUGGCGAGAAACCGAUAGCGAACAAGUACCGUGAGGGAAAGAUGAAAAGAACUUUGAAAAGAGAGUUAAACAGUAUGUGAAAUUGUUAAAAGGGAACCGUUUGGAGCCAGACUGGCUUGUCUGUAAUCAAUCUAGGCUUCGGCCUGGAUGCACUUGCAGGCUAUGCCUGCCAACGACAAUUUGACUUGAGGGAAAAAACUAGGGGAAAUGUGGCCCACUUGUGGGUGUUAUAGUCCCUUAGAAAAUACCUUGGGUUGGAUUGAGGAACGCAGCGAAUGCUUAUUGGCGAGUUUUCCAGGAAGGUUUUCUGAGGUACUACGGUAUCAAGGUUGAUCUUUUUGGUUAUACUUCUAUUCGCUUAGGUUGUUGGCUUAAUGACU